CCUACGGGAGGCUGCAGUGAGGAAUAUUGGUCAAUGGCCGCAGGGCUGAACCAGCCAAGUCGCGUGAGGGAUGACGGUCCUAUGGAUUGUAAACCUCUUUUGUCAGGGAGCAAAGGGCGCCACGUGUGGCGCUUUGCGAGUACCUGAAGAAAAAGCAUCGGCUAACUCCGUGCCAGCAGCCGCGGUAAUACGGAGGAUGCGCGCGUUAUCCGGAUUUAUUGGGUUUAAAGGGUGCGCAGGCGGAAUGUCAAGUCAGCGGUAAAAUUUCGGGGCUCAACCCCGUCGUGCCGUUGAAACUGGCGUUCUUGAGUGAGCGAGAAGUAUGCGGAAUGCGUGGUGUAGCGGUGAAAUGCAUAGAUAUCACGCAGAACUCCGAUUGCGAAGGCAGCAUACCGGCGCUCAACUGACGCUCAUGCACGAAAGCGUGGGUAUCGAACAGGAUUAGAUACCCGAGUAGUC
rnacentral:rRNA from 1 species